CCCCUUUCAGAGUCACACCUGGAGAGUUUCCGGUACUCUACCAGUCUCUACAAUGGGAGGAAAAGUCAAGCAGAGGCCUACCCAUUCCAUUCCUAGCUUGGCCAAUGGCUAGCGAGUGGAAGGCAAUCUGCUACAAGU